rnacentral:lncRNA from 1 species
GGUACCGUAUAUGCAUGUGUGGAAAUGUCGCCAUGGAACCCAAUCACUUCUACAGUUAAUUCGUGCUGGUAAUCACUUUUUAAAAAUAAAAAGACCCGAGACCUGUGGUGCAUGUCAGUGGGUUCAGGAUGAGAGGCCACACAGCAUACUGAGCAGAUCUCUGGCCUGGGACAAGAAGCUGUUCAAGGGACUGUCAGCUCCAACCGGGUAACCGGUCACCAGACAGCCAGUAGCCUACCACAGUGACAGAAAGAGUGAGAAGGAGAAGGGAGAGCCCCAGAGCAUUAGUCCCUCCCAAGAGCCCUAAAACCAGCAAACAGAUAUCCCGGGCUCUGUUCCCAGUCCCAAGGUAAGCAAAGAGGGCCUGCGUCACAUCCCAUGGGUCACAAAACUGAGUCCAGUCUCCUCAAGAUUUGCCACUUCCUCCUUUUUCCUAUGGUUUUCACGGUGCUAAUUAUUGGACUGUGUCUCUCCACGGGACUCCUCGGCAUCAGGAUUCCAGCAUUUGGCGCUGUGUGGUUUCAGCUCCUGUCGUGGCAUUACUCUCCUACCCACUGAUGGCUCCUAGCAAGGCUCCGGAGUGGAGGAAAAUGAACUUUGGAUUUAAGGCACUUGUCCCCAUUCACCAGCCUGAAGUCCCCUGCCUCAUCGGUAAAGGAGAGCGGCUCCUGGGAGGAUUAUGAAAACCCACUUGCAAAGCUCCCAGCCAGGGCCUGGCCUGCAGUAGGGGCCCCACAAAGAUCAGCCGUUAUUCUAGGGUGACAGAUCUCUACCGCACCCGGAAUGGCACCAGGUACGCAACAGGUCACAGGCAGUGCACAGGGCUACGUGGGCUGAAUCUAUCUCUGGAGAGUGUUGUGGAGGCUUGUGGUUGGUUCCAUUUCUCUGUGGGUUGUCUCAGGGCUGCAGGAGCCCAAAGCAGGCCCCUGGGUCCUGAAGGACCUGACUGGAGAGGGGAGAGUAGGUCAGAUUCACCCGUGAGCAGAGAACUUAAAGCUGGGCCCUCUUCAGAUGCCAGCAAAGGAAUGGACAAAACUUUUCAGAAACUUUCAACCUUUUCCCUGCAGACCUUGCUACAGCAAGAGCAGCUGCUAGGGACUCUGAAGUCCCUUGGGGGCGGUGAGCCCUGCAGCCGUGAUGGAGGUGCUAGCAGGAAGACAGGCCUGGAGGUGUAACGCAGUGGUAGAGCGCUUCACUAGCAUGUGCAAGGGUCUGGCUUCAAUUUCCCCAUACCCUUUCCUGAAAGGGGGGAAAUGAGUGUCCCAACAAUACAAGAUGUGAUAAAAAAUAUAUGUAUAGUCUGUAUUUAAGGUAAAAAACAAUUCAUUACACAUUGCCAUUAAUCCCCUCAAAGAUACUCCCUUUCUCUUUGAACACUCACCCUGUACUUUUUGCCACUCUGAAGCAGCUCUGGAGUCCUCUGUUGUGUCUUUAGUUGCCAGUCAUGGCUGCCUCGAUGUCCACAAUCGAUUAAAAACAUGUAUACGCGCCGGGGAUUUAGCUCAGUGGUGCUGUCACCUGCCUCACAAGCGCAAGGCCCUGAGUUCGGUCCCUGGUACCAAAACAACAACAAAACUAACAAUCAAAAAAACAUUUACCUUUCAUGGUUAUUUUGACAAAUGACAAGAGCCAGAAGUAGCUUGGUGCCAGAUCCAGUGAAUAAGGUAGAUGAGGACACAGGAUAAUGUUCUUACAAGCUUUUCUGCUGCCUUUCUGCUGGAUGCUGCUCAGCAGCAACAUUCACCAUUUUUUUUUUGGUAUCAGGAAUCGAACUCAGGACCUUGCACUUGCGAGGUGGGUGACAGAACCACUGAGCUAAAUCCCCAGCUCCCUUCUGUAUUUUUGAUGAUGCCUCCUAAAGACAUGAAAGAGGACUUCUAGAACUGCUUCAGAAAGUGGCAAGAACACUGGGAUAAGUGGGUUUUGAAAUAAGGGGAAUAUUUUGAAGGGGAUUCAGGGCAAUGUGUCUUUUACUGUAACACAUUUUAAAAAUUGAAACACUGCAUUUUCUGACUGCCCCUUGUAUGUUGUCCUUGCGAUACUUCUGGCUUCCCUUGGCUUCAGGAUCAGGUUCUGCCUUUCUAGACCAGAUAUGCUCCCUGUCAUCCCGUGGCCAACCUACUCUGCAGAUGAGGAACGGAGGCUUGGCAUGGUUAUGUAACUUGCUCAAGGUCACACAGCUGGAAGAUAGCAGAGGUUCUGCCAGGUGGAAACCAAGCCCGCCUGCGCCAGGAGCCAAAGCAAGGACUCAACUGGUGACCCAAGUGUUCCAAGUCUUCAUUUCUCCAUCAGUAAAAAUGGAGAUAAAAGAAUAUCUGCCUGAUGGUCCCCUGGGAAGUUGAGUCAUCUCAUCACUUCACAUCAUGCACACGUGGCCAGGAAACCUUCAGGAAUGUGAACCUGCCCUCCCACCACCUCCUCCCUGUCCCUCCAGUGCUGGAUCCAUGACCCAGGGACCUCUGUCAAUUUCCUCCACCAGUGUGUGCCCAGCACCCGCUUGGACCACUGAAUAAACUGAACGGAUGUCCCUCAUUCAUAGCAGGUGCUAAGGAAAUGUAUCACAUGAAUGUUGUUCAGAGGAAAGCCACAGGCCAAAUCACACCCUCUCUGUUUCUGAAACUCCUUCCGGGGGACCAACAUGGAAUCAUGAUCACAGAUUCGGAAGCAGUUAGACCUGGCUUGUGUUCUAGCUCUGCUCACUCACUAGCACUGUGUCCUUCACUUUCGGGCCUCCCUUCCCUCCUCUGUGAAAUGGACAUCAGAGUAGCAACUCACCUACACUGGUUAUUUCAGGGUUCAAUGAGAUAAUGUAAGCCAAGCACUUAACACAGUACUCUGCAGGUAAAAACCCUGUGGUGGAAUGUGUCCGUUAAAUCCCAGCCUCAAGACCCCAGAAGAUGUUUCAAAAAGACUUUGCUUUUCUUUCAGAGAGACAAGGGGGCUGGCACUGAUGCCCCUCCUGCCUCAUUUCUCUUGCUCUCUGCUUCUCAGCCGAAUCCCUCUCCAUUCUUAGGUCUAGUGGUCUCUUCUUGUUGAAGAGCCAGUGUCCCCAUCCCUGUGGACUCCUGUAGAGGACACAGCCCCUCUCCACAUCACUUUGCCAUGCCAGGAGUGAGGGGGUGCAGAGGGUCCCCCAGCUACUGAAUCCCCUUUGUGUCACCUGAGGUGGAGUCUUGCUCACUGGUCUGUCCUUCAAGGUGAGUCCAGGAUGCCAGGGAGGCACCAGCCUGGCUUGGAAUUCAAGCCUCUGCCACAUCCAAGGCUGCAUAAUCUCAGGCAAGCCCACUGCUCUUUCUCUACCUCCGAUUCCUAAGCAGUGAAAUGGUAACCAUUGUUAGCACCCACAGCUGACCUGGAAACACUAGCCAGCUAUGCCACUGACCUAUUCAGUGGAUGCCAGCCAGUGCCCCAGCGUCCGGCAGAGGCGUCAUGGCGCCUGGCCCGUUGUACAUAUCGCAAAACAAUGGCUACUGCCAUUUCUGUUUCAACGCACACCCUGUUCCUUGCAAUUCCUAGCCCAGCCCUGAUACAGGGACGUUCAGAGGUGAGAGCUUUAAACAGACCUGGCUUUUGUUCUCCCCCAAGUGAAUGAAGGCUCACCUCCCUUUCUUGCUUCCCUUUGCUCACUAGAAGGUCACCGAAGCGCUGGAGAAGAGCCAGAAACUUUACCCCUGGGUUACCUGGGGUGGGAGCUGUUUUCCCCAUGAACAUUCUUCACAGAUAUUCAACACAGCCACGUAAGAGCCAAAUGCCUGAAGGCCCCAUCACCGAGCAGACCUGCAGUGGGGCCACGCCAGCGUGUAGCCUGCACAGCACACACAGGACCUCGUUGGAGAUGCUCACUGUGCUGGCAGAGGACAGGCUCAGUCCCUCUCCUGUGCCCACUGCUUGGACCUCAUCAUUACAAAGUGCUCCCGGGGCAUCCAGCAGUGAAGCGGCCUCACAGCAGCAAGGGCUUCAGCUCAGCCACCCCAGUCCUGCUUCCUGCACCCCAAUAUACGCAAAGCCAGAAAUGUCAAGGAUGCCAGGCCCAGCUGCCCAGAGAAGGGAGGACAUCUCUUCCCCCAGGGAGAACCUGCUGCAGUCCGAAUGUGCUAAGGCCGGACAGCUGGUCACCCAGGGAGGCCUGGAUGCCCUGCUUGAGCUGUCACAGCGUGCUGGGCCCCCAGUGUGACAACUGAAAGCAGCCAUCUCUUUCCCAUGGCCAUGGCAUGGUGGAACCAGGGUGCCAGCAGCACCUGGCUACUCAACUGGGAUGUCCUCUCCUUCCUCCCCUGUCAUCACUGCAAGAUGCUCCUGCAGGAGAGAGCACAAAGCCUGCCAGGGAGGGAGGUGACUGCAUAAAAGCACUGGCUCCAGAGAUGGCACCUGAGUGAUUGGCCCCACAAACACAAACCCAGAUGGGAUUUGCUCUAGUGCUGUACCAGUGAGUGUGUGUGUUUGCUUAUUCAGUUGAUAGCAACGAAUUUUUUGACUAGAACACAGGGGAAUCUAUGAGGCGUGGGUGCCUGUCUCCUGCUGUGUCAGGACCACGCCUAGCAGAGAGCAGCAUGGUUGUGAUCAUAAAGCUGCCGUUUCUCCUCUGUCAGCUCUGCUCCUUCUCUAGCAGGUGUUUUAUACGCAUUCUCUGCCUUCAAUUUAUGCCCUGUUGAAACCCUCUGAGGGAGGGAUUAUAACAACACUAACUUGGUAACACUUCUCAGACUCUUUCGGUGUGGCAGGCACUGGGCUCCACGUCUGAUAACAUCUCCCCCGCCCCUCCCAGAACCCCUGUUGAAGCAGUGCUGCUUUUCUAUCUCACAGAGGGAUAAGGCGAGACCUAGGGCUCCAGCCCAGGUCUGCUGUCGCCACACCUGGGAGCAUCCCCACUGCCCGCCUGUCCUGUGCCAUCCUGCUUUGUCUCAUGGUCUCCCGACUGAGCACGUGAGGCCUGGGGGCUGAGGACCCAGUCGAGCAGAUGGAAAUUCUGGGGCUGGCUUCCCACACCCACACCCCAUCUCUGCCAGUCAGUGCGGAUUCGUGGGGUGCUCGCGUGAGCACCGAGAGAACCAUCAAGACGGCCUGUGGUUGUGCAUCAGUGGGGUCUGUAGUUACAACCCGUGAGCCCCUGGCAGUGGCUCAUCAUGGAUUAACAUCCCGGGCUGACCAGAGGCAGUUAGUGUUGUACAUUCUGCGGUUUUGACCAGUGUUUAAGGACACAUAUCCGUUACGGUUUCGUACAGAAUGGGGCACUGACUAAAAAUACUGUGCUCUACCUGUUCAUCCCUCCCUCCCUCCUGACCUCUAGCAACCACCAAUCUUUUCACCAUCUGCAUAGUUUCAUCUUUCCUCAUAGAGUAAUAAACAAAUCAGGGCUGAUCAAAAAUAUGAACACUUACAUUUAAAAAAAAAUUUUUUUUGGUACUGAGGAUCGAACUCAGGACCUUGCACUUUCAAUUCAGAUGGCAGCAUCAUUGAGCUAAAUCCCCAGCCCCACUUAAAAAAAUUAUUACAGUAAAUGACAUAUUGCCAUUCAUUAAUCACCAUCAAAAUAUUUCCACUCACUUUGAAUACACUUAUCCCAUCAUUCUUGCCAUUUUCUGAAGCACUUCUGGAAGUUCUCUUUCAUGUCUUUAUGAGGGAUAAUCAAAAAUGCAGUGAAUGCUGCUGCCAAGUGUCAUCUAGCAGAAAAGCAGGCUCAUGAAAACAAUACAGUGUGUCCUCAGACACCUUAUUCAUCAGAUCUAGCAUUGUGUGAAAUCCAGCUCUUCCUCAAAGUCAAAAUGACUAUGAAAGUAAAUUUCUUGGUUUUUUUCCGGUACUAGGGAUCGAACUCAGGACCUUGUGCUUGCAGGUCAGCCGCAGCUCUACUGAGCCAAAUUCCCAGUCCCAAAAGUAAAUGUUCUUAAUUGAUUCAGGACAUUGUGGCAGGAGUGAUAGUACAACUAAAGACAUUCACAAAAGAGGACUUCCAAAACAGUGGGGUAACUGUGUUCAAACAGAGGGUUAUCUUGAGGAUUAAGGGCAACAUAUCUUUUACUGUAAUACAUUUUUUAAAAAUUUAAGCAUACACUGUAUUUUUCAACAACACCCCAAGUAUAUGUAGUCUUCUUUCACCAUCUGGCAGUAAGUGGGUAAGGUCUUUUUGUGGACUGAUAGCUCAUUUCUUUCUAUUGUAGAAUGAGAGUCUACUGUCUGGAUGUACCGCAGUUUAUCCAUUUGCCUACUGAACAACAUCUUAGUUGCUUCCCAGUUUUGGCAAUUAUGAAUAAAGCCACUAUAAACAUUGGUGUGCAGGCUUUAGUAUGGGGGUUAAGAUUUCAACUUAUUUGGAUAAAUACCUAGGCACGCGGUUGCUGGAUGGCGCGGGG